UACGUAGGCAGCAAACGUUGUUCGGAGUUACUGGGCGUAAAGAGUACGUAGGCGGCUUGCCAAGUUUGGUGUGAAAUCUCCUGGCUUAACUGGGAGGGUGCGCCGAAUACUGGCGAACUUGAGUAUUGGAGAGGAAAGCGGAAUUCCUGGUGUAGCGGUGAAAUGCGUAGAUAUCAGGAGGAACACCGGUGGUGUAGACGGCUUUCUGGACAAUCACUGACGCUGAGGUACGAAAGCGUGGGUAGCAAACAGG
rnacentral:rRNA from 1 species